UACGUAGGCAGCAAGCGUUGUUCGGAGUUACUGGGCGUAAAGAGUGUGUAGGCGGUGUUCCCAGUCUGUUGUGAAAUCUCCCGGCUUAACUGGGAGGGUGCAGCGGAAACUAGAAUGCUAGAGGGUGGGAGAGGUAAGCGGAAUUCCUGGUGUAGCGGUGAAAUGCGCAGAUAUCAGGAGGAACACCAAUGGCGAAGGCAGCUCGCUGGGACGUGACUGACGCUGAGACGCGAAAGCGUGGGGAGCAAACAGG
rnacentral:rRNA from 1 species